CCUACGGGUGGCUGCAGUGGGGAAUAUUGCACAAUGGACGCAAGUCUGAUGCAGCAACGCCGCGUGGAGGAUGACGCAUUUCGGUGUGUAAACUCCUUUUAUAGGGGAAGAUAAUGACGGUACCCUAUGAAUAAGCACCGGCUAACUCCGUGCCAGCAGCCGCGGUAAUACGGAGGGUGCAAGCGUUACUCGGAAUCACUGGGCGUAAAGGAUGCGUAGGCUGGAAAUCAAGUCGAAAGUGAAAUCCAACGGCUCAACCGUUGAACUGCUUUCGAAACUGGUUACCUAGAAUAUGGGAGAGGUAGAUGGAAUUAGUGGUGUAGGGGUAAAAUCCGUAGAUAUCACUAGGAAUACCGAUUGCGAAGGCGAUCUACUGGAACAUUAUUGACGCUGAGGCAUGAAAGCGUGGGGAGCAAACAGGAUUAGAUACCCUUGUAGUC
rnacentral:rRNA from 1 species